ACGGAAGGCAGCAGUGGGGAAUAUUGGACAAUGGGGGAAACCCUGAUCCAGCGACGCCGCGUGAGCGAAGAAGUAUUUCGGUAUGUAAAGCUCUAUCAGCAGGGAAGAAAAUGACGGUACCUGACUAAGAAGCCCCGGCUAACUACGUGCCAGCAGCCGCGGUAAUACGUAGGGGGCAAGCGUUAUCCGGAUUUACUGGGUGUAAAGGGAGCGCAGGCGGUAUGCUAAGUCUGAUGUGAAAACCCGGGGCUCAACCUCGGGAUUGCAUUGGAAACUGGUAAACUUGAGUGUCGGAGAGGUAAGCGGAAUUCCUAGUGUAGCGGUGAAAUGCGUAGAUAUUAGGAGGAACACCAGUGGCGAAGGCGGCUUACUGGACGAUAACUGACGCUGAGGCUCGAAAGCGUGGGGAGCAAACAGGAUUAGAUACCCUGGUA
rnacentral:rRNA from 1 species